UGAAGGCAUGAGUUGAGACAUUGCAGUAGCAAUUUUAAUUAAUAAAAAUGUUGGCAAUUUGCAUUUGGUCAAAUCCAUCCAGAUACAACAGGAUGCAGUGAAGCGCAUGAGCACAAGUCUAACACGGGAUGCAAUGCAAGCAAAGGGCGUAAUAGUAGUCGCGGCCUCUAGGGUGGCAGCGGGUUAUUAUUCUUGGCAGCGAACGCGGUGACGAACUGGCAGCGCAGCGUUUGUUGUCGUCAUCAUCUUUCCUCGUCGCCGGUCUCAGAACUCGACGCCCUUGAAGACCUUGCGCACCUGCUCGAGCGUGACGAAGAGCACAACGGUGAAGGGCCCCUGGCGCAUCACGGUGGGGAUGAACCCCUUGUACAGCGCCAUGGGUCCCUCCGACCUGACGGUCUUGAGGGCGCAGUCGACGGCGCCGGCGUAGGGCGGGGGCGCGCCGGGCGCCACCUUCAUGUUCAUCAUCCUCGUCUUGACGACGUCGACGGGGUUGGACGCGGCGGCGGCGACGAUGCCGGCGGUGAAGCUGGCGGCCACGUGCGUGGCGAGGCCGUCGGCGCCCGGGCCGCGGCGCGCCAGGAUGGCCUCCUUGGCCUGGUCGUACGUGGCCAGCUGCGACGCCGUGACGAUCAUGGCGCGGUUGACGGUGAGCGAGGACCCGCGCCAGAGGCUGCGCACGCCCUCGUCGCGCGCCAUCCGGCCGAUGGCGUCGCCGACGCCGCGGUAGUUCCGGCGCUCCGCGAGGGGCAGGCGCCCGUCCGCCUGCAUCCGCACCAUGGCCACGUCGGCCGGGUUGCCCACGGCGGCGCCGACGCCGCCGGCGACGAGGCCGGCCAAGAUCUUGCGGUGCAGCGGGAGGACGCCGCCGUUCUCCCGGGCCCACCUGGUCUUGAGGAUGUCGUACAGCCCCAUCCGCGUGGUGGAGUAGAGCGUCUGCCGCAGCAUGGUGGCGGACACCCCCGAGAAGAGGCCCGCGGCGCCCUCGGACCGCAGGAUCUGCGCGCCGACGGCCAGCGGCCCGGGCUUCCGCGGCGGCGCCGGGAUGUCGUGGUGGUGCGGGAGCGCGACGGCGUGGCCCCCGGCGUGGAAGGCGAGCGCCGGGCGCAGCGCCGGCUGCGGCGCCACGGCGGCCGCCGCCUCCCCCUGCAGCUGCAUGCGGACCUUGAUGAGGUCCAGCGGGUGGGUGGAGCAGCCGGCCACGAUGGAGGCGAUGCCGCCCUCGACGAAUCCCUUGACACCCAUCGCUUGCUUGCCCGGUUUCUUCUCUCCUUUUGGGUUUCAGGAGUUAGGGAGAGACGGAUCCGAGAGCAAAGAUGCCAACAAAACUAAAAACGGAAGCUGAGAGCCAGCUCGAUCAAACGGAAACGAAAUCCAGACGGGAGGAAAGGAAGAAGAAGAAGAAAAAAAGGAAGGCGGAGAAUAGCUAUUGCUGCCAAUAGGAGCUGGGGCACAUCUCACUGGAGACCAGGAGAUGGGAAUGGAGCGCGAAGGCUAUGCAGGAGGAGUGUGGGACGCUGGCCCUCUGUGACAUAUGCUGGUCGUGCUUCCUACUUCCUCGGCGUCGGAUGUGUGGGUGGGGGAAGAAGGCGGCAGGGAGGGGACGCAAUUUAUAGCUGGGUGGCGCGGUGCGGGAAGGGCCAGGGAAGGAGACGAACAGGGGGAGGCUCCGCGGUUGGGGUUCCGCUUCCACGGCCUCGCGCUCGCGGUCGGACUGGGGAAGGCAGAUUCGCAGUCGCGGCGCGGCGCGGGCGGGUGGGAGAGGAAGGCGACCUGGCCGCCCGAGCUGUGAUUGCUUUCUGGGAUCGCUUCGCCUUAACGCGGAGUUGGGGGGGAGAAGGGGCCUGGCCUGGCCGCCCGCGUCAUCGGUGCGGUGGGUUGGGUGGCCCGCGGCCGACUGCCUACGGCUUCCGUCCUUCCGCGCGUCGUGCGGCGGCGCGGGCAUAUAGGAGAGCUGGCGGGCAGCGGGCUGGCUGGUGGCCGUCCGCGAGCGGCUGUGCCCUGAUCUGGACCGUCUGUUUGGGCCUGGCCUUGGUGGGCCCCAUCCACAAUUAGGGUUUGGAAACGAACGGCGGCGGGAUUUGCUGGAGUUUUUUUUCUAUUCGUUUUGGUAGGGUGGGGCCGUGGGGACUGGGGGUGCCCGAAGGACGAAGCGAAGGCAACGGGCAACGGCACGCGCCGAGGGACGCAGGGAGCGCAGGCUCACGUCUCACCACCCCUUUUUUCACGCAAAAGGGACGACGAGGCUGGCUGCCUAGCACGCACAGGACAGGAACGUGCUCGCCAACAAAACAAAACAUAUACAGGAGGGAAGACACACCGGAGGCGUUGGAAUUGGGGAAGUGCUUUUCUGCGGCGGGGGUGUGAGGUGGGCCACGCGCGCGCUAGACCUUGGCGCGUAGCCAAGGAAAGGAAUUGUAACAGACGGGAUGCAGCGUCCUAUCAGGGUCGUGUGUAUUACGUGUGUACAUGGGUGGCUCGUUCCAACACAGUGUACAGUCCAGCCAGGCACGCAGCAGCAGCAGCCAGCAGGCAGCAGUACCGCGCUAUUGCUUUCGCACCGGCCUGAUCGGCGCCAAGUUGUUGUUUGUUGCCGUGCGGCACGCAGCCGCCACAUGCCAGGCCUCAGCGGCGGGCCGGUCGCCUGGCCAUUUCCGCUCGCCCACCGUCCAGACGGAGCCAGAGCCACCACUCGAACGGGCGGGGGAGCGGCCAAGGUCUCAUCCCGCCCGGCCUUGGCCUGGCGGCUCGCCGCAUCCGCCUGCCUGGGAGCGGUUCCCACGGCCCCACCACCUCCACUCUUCCGGACGUCUGUCUGUUUGGUGUUUGCGCGCGGGGGGGUCCUGGCCGGCGUUUCGCGGUCGCGCCACGGGUCCUAGGCUGGUGGUGGGACUGGGAGUGCCACACUGGUGGACUAGUAGUAGAAGCCUAGAAGGAGCGCGUGGGCGCACGGUCCAGCCUCCAGUACAGCCGUUCCAGAGACGCGGGGGGAGCGCUAGGUCGCAGCUGGUGCGGGCUGGAACACCAAUUCUCCGUAACGCGUCAACACGUCUGACCCUGCGAGCAGCGUGCAUUAAACCUGUGCUCCAUCAAGUCCACCAACCUGUGUGCCUUUCGCUAGCGUAGCUAGUAGUACGUACGUAUACGUACUGGUGCUGAGCUGAGCCCUGGCCCCUGGACUUGUCCUGCGCCUCCUGCGUUGGUAACCAGAAAGAGGGCUGAGCCAGCCGUGGUUGCCUUUUGUUUGGGACUGGGACGCUAGUGUUUAUAGGGGGCUACCGGGCAACUGGAUCGGGAGGACGAUGAAGAGCCCCAGGCAGGCAGCAACGCAGCGAGGCUAAUGGUACGUGCUCCGUUUGGUCUUUUUUUUCCUUGUCUACUGCACUAGCCCCGUGAUGCGAUGAAAGUAGUGGGCUAGGAGGGGCAAGAGCAUAGUACAAUUACUCGUGCCAGUUGGUACGAAAGGCACUGGUGCCCUUCCAAAAAAGUGUUGGAUCUGUUCGGUUCAUGUCUACAAGACUACAUUACUGUUUGGUUUCUUCUCACACCCAUAUUCUCGUCACAUAAUCUCUAUGAUAUUUAGAUUCUCAGAAAAAAGUUGAACUAAACAGACUCUUAACUACGUGUCCCAUGUCAUAUGUUCAUUUUGGUGUUAAACUUUACUCCCUAGAACCAAACAUGAACACACAUUUUGUAGAUACCGUAUUUAGUCACACUUAUUUGGGAUGGCCUUUUGUUUGAUAGUUUUUAUUCAGUAUAGAGAUUUUACAGCACAAAUAGAAUUGUUGUAACUAUAUUUACAUUCAAAAGGUUUACUUGUCCCAUAUUAGUAUAUGAAAUAACAAUCGUGAGCCAAAGUCUUAUCUUAACAAUACAAAAUGUGUCUUCUUCUUUUUUUUUUACAGGGCGGUUGCUAAAAUAAAUGGGGCCUUUGAUGUUUACACUAAAACAAUGUCAAAUGUUUCGAGGCUGAAAUAUCCGAAGAAAUUAAGGUAGCGUGUUUGGUUUCGGUGUCCUCGAGAGCCGCUUCGUUCGAGAAAUUUUGAGAAGCUAAAUAGUUAAACAUUUUAGAGUAACUCCGAAAAAUUAGCUAAAAAGACUAGUCAAAUUUACUGAUUUAGCUACUCUCUAAAAUAGAUUUUAGAGAAAAAUAUAGGCUAAUCCAACAGACUCGGUAAACCUAUGGAUUGAAUAGAGAGUGAAGUAGGUUAUCCAAAAUUAGAGAGCGACGAUGGAGAAAUAGAGAGCCGCUAAAUUUGAAGAGUCGUUUACAGAAUCUAUUGGAUACAAUUUUCUUUUAAUAUUAGCUAAAUUUACCUUUACAAAACCAUAUAUCUAAUCUCUUGAAGUUGCUCUUAGCAUAUUUUAUUUUAUUUUUAGAACAACACUGUUUUAUAUAGAAUCAAUCUAAACAAUAAUAAAUUUGAAGCAGAGCGGCUCUAUUCCAACGUAUUUUGAAACCAAACCCUGAAACGUUAUCUAAGGGUUUGGUUCGGUUCUACCCCAAUCUAUAUGGACCGAGGAGGUUUUAAUCCCUAGUAAGUCAAAAUCCCCUUCAAUCCGUAUCAAUCCCCUCCAAUCUAUAUGGAUUGAAAAUAACCGAAAAGCUCUAAAAGAGUGGUGUAAGACAGGAAAGUUGUUGGUAGGUACCGCUAGAAUGAUAUUGGGCAAUGACAACGGGACGGUGGCAUGUGCGGUGGCACGAGAAAUCACGAGAUCAUAAAUAUGGACACUUUGCUAGUAUACUUUUUAUGGUGCUGAGUACUAAUUAAGCCCGUGGAAAGGAGGCGUUCCACUCAGCUGAGAUAUGCAUACAGCAAAUAUUCCAAGCCCGAAAGUUCUGAAGAAAUUUAAAAGGUGGUUUGAAGUGGUUUAAGCCAGGAAAGUCACAGGUGACCACUCUGUAGCCGAUUUGUUGACGGUUUCAGAAACGAGAUAAUAUAUGUACAUUUACCUAACACGUGGUAACAAGUGACGUGAGAAGGACGUGCGACUCGCGAGCAAGACACAUUCAACAGUGGCUCGUCAAGACGUGAGUAGAGCAGCCCUGGUUGGCUCGGCUGGUUGCUGGCCGUGCAGUUCAUCUACUGCUUGUUUUCUGAAGAGCCGUUUGCAGCAAAGUCAGCUCUUGAGCUAAUUUAUUAACUCCUGCUCCGUUGAAUAACUGGAAGUCAGCUUGGGUGUCCUGCGCGAGCACUACGGAGUACGGAGGCGCCAUGCCGGCGCGGCGAGCGAUUUCUUCGCUUCGUUCGUUGCACUGGCAAUUUGGCAAGGCGCGCAAGGACUAGAGAGGUGGCUCUAACCUGUCCAUGCGAGCAGUGCGGACCUUUCCCGAUGUCCCGUACUCCCGUCGUAAAGCAAGCACGGCCACAGUACUGUACUGGAUACGUUUUCCAGUGAAUACGUACGCGUACUUUUAAAAAUUUAGACAAUUUCAGUAGUAGUUUAAUCUAGAAAUUGUUAGUCAACAAAUAUAUGACGUCGGAUAUAUGUACAUGUGCUCUAAACGUGAUGAACAUAUAUAGAAUAAUAACUAACAUAAUUUUUAUUAUAAACAGUGUAGUAGAUAGGUAGCCAUGUUAACCAUUACCAUGAAAGAGAGGACGAAGUGAGCAAUAGUGUCACUUACAUAUACUCUAAAAAAAACAUGAUUGCCAGCCCUCACCCUAAACUCUCGGACGACACUCAUUUUGGAGGCUUGCUAUUCUAAUACUUGUGCGCAUAAAAAUUGGAAUGGAGAGAACUUGACCAA
rnacentral:lncRNA from 1 species